rnacentral:pre_miRNA from 1 species
CUGAUACUCCCUCCGUCCGGAAAUACUUGUCGAAGAAAUGCAUAAAAAUGGAUGUAUCUAGAACUAAAAUACAUCUAGAUACAUCCAUUCCUCCGACGAGUAUUUCCGGACGGAGGGAGUAUUAG